AUCUCUUGUAUUCUGUUGCUGAUGGUUCACAUCUAUGGUUCCAGAUUUCUUUCCUAGGGUUUCUAUCUCCUGAGUUGCCUCACUUUGAGUUUUCUUUAUUAAGUCCACUUCCCUUUUUAGGUCUAGUAUGGUUUUGUUCAUUUCCAUCUCCUGUUUGUAUGUGUUUUCCUCUUUUUCUUUAAGGACUUGUAACUCCUUAGCAGUGUUCUCUUGUAUUUCUUUAAGUGAUUUAUCAAAGUCCUUCUUGAUGUCCUCUACCAUCAUCAUGAGAUAUGCCUUUAAAUCUGGGUCUAGCUUUUCGAGUAUGUUGGGGUACCCAGGAUUGCCUGAGGUGGGAGUGCUGCGUUCUGAUGAUGGGAAGGUGCCCGGAUUUCUGGAGCCUGUGCAGACUAGUCUUGGCAGGAUCUGGGAACCAAGAUGUCUCCGGCAGAUGCUCUGGCAUUGGCCUCCCGGGCCGGGCAGACAGCUCUCCUCUGGCAAGGAAGGUGCCUGGAUGUCUGGAGCCCGAAAUGGGGCCUGCCUUAGAAGCUCUGUGGCUCCUGCCUGACCCAGAAGCUGUUAGCUUCUGUAGUCCACACUCUCACCUGUGCAGACUAGUUUUGGCAGGAUCUGAGAACCAAGAUGUCUCCAGCAGAUAUUCAGGCAAUGGCUUCCCAGGCAGGGCGAAUGCCUCUCCUCUGGCAGGGAAGGUGCCUGGAUCACUGAAAUAGGCAUUUCCAUUUGCUUAAAUAAAGUAUAUAUUCUCCAUU
ensembl:lincRNA Gm28237 predicted gene 28237